AGUAACGCGUGGGAACCUUCCCUAUGGUACGGAAUAGCUCCGGGAAACUGGAAUUAAUACCGUAUAAGCCCUUCGGGGGAAAGAUUUAUCGCCAUAGGAUGGGCCCGCGUCGGAUUAGCUAGUUGGUAGGGUAAUGGCCUACCAAGGCAACGAUCCGUAGCUGGUCUUAGAGGAUGAUCAGCCACACUGGGACUGAGGCACGGCCCAGACUCCUAC
rnacentral:rRNA from 1 species